rnacentral:rRNA from 1 species
UAACUGUCUCUUACAGGCAAUCGGUGAAAUUGAUCUCCCUGUGCGAAAGCAGGGAUAACCACAUAAGACGAGAAGACCCUGUGGAACUUCAAAAACAGCGACCACCCCAACAUACAUACACACCCACCCCGGGCGCACUUAUCCAUAAAGCACUGGUUCGCAUUUUUUCGGUUGGGGCGACCUUGGAGCAAAACAAAACCUCCAAAGAUUGGACCAUCCCUCCAGACUAAGAGCAACCUCUCAACGUGCCAACAGCACCCAGACCCAAUACAAUUGAUCAAUGGACCAAGCUACCCCAGGGAUAACAGCGCAAUCUCCUCCAAGAGUCCAUAUCGACGGGGAGGUUUACGACCUCGAUGUUGGAUCAGGACAUCCUAGUGGUGCAGGGGCUACUAAGGGUUCGUUUGUUCAACGAUUAACAGUCCUACGUGAUCUGAGUUCAGACCGGAGCAAUCCAGGUCGGUUUCUAUCUAUGAUGAACUCUUCCUCGUACGAAAGGAUCGGAAAAGUGAGGCCAAUACCACAAGCAAGCCUUCGCCUUAAGUAAUGAAGCCAACUCAAUUACAAAAGGCUAUCACACCACACCACGUCCAAGAAAAGG